AGAAAAUCAACCUCCCAGUGUGAAUAGUGCCAUAAUAAAUCUAUUUCAUACCAGCUGUCCAUGCAUGAGUUUUGAAUUUCUCUGGAUGUUUGGAGCUGCAAAGCCCAGUGAGGAAAAACAUGACUCACCUAUGCAAUGUUAUUUUGUUUUACAGGAAAAGGCUCAGUGCUUUCAGAAGGCUCUUGCUUCCCAAGCAGAUAAAUCCACACAGACAGAACUCGUAGGACAUGAUGCCCUGUGGAACUCUCCAUGUUCUGAAGGCUUAGUUUACAAACCUAUCAGCAUCUCAUUGGUUCCAUCAUUAUUAAAUUAAAAAGCAACAUCUGGACACUCUGCACUUACGGAUAUAAUUAAAUACUGCUGUAUAUGAAAUGAGCUGCAAGUUACCAUUGCUGGCAAAAUUCUACUACUUAAGAUAAUAUUUGUAUUAUGAACAGUCAAAUAUCAUUUUUUUGAGGAAUAUCUUCAUUAUUAAGUGUAUCUAUGAAUAAAUUAUUAGUAAGCUAUGACA
rnacentral:lncRNA from 1 species